GUCUGGCUGGCUCAGUCAGUAGAGCAUGUGACUCCUAAUCUUGGGGUUGUGAGUUCAAGCCCCACAUUGGGCA
rnacentral:tRNA from 1 species